CGCCGGAGGGAGGGAGCGAGCGGGCCAGCGACGCGGGCCGCCCCUGCCGCCGCCGCCGCCGCGGUCGGACCAGCGGCCUCCUCCCCUCCCCUCCCUCGCGUCGCCCUGCCGCGGGGAGGGGGCUCGAGUCGCGGUCUCCAGCGGCUCCCGAUGAAGCAGCAGCUGCCGCCGCAGCCGCCUCCAAAGAUGGGGGAUUUCUACGACCCCGAGCACCCGACCCCUGAGCUUUCUUGGCUGGAUGACAAUAGAGAAGAAGAAAAUGAGGCAAAGAUUGAAAAUGUGCCGAAAACAGGUUUCAUCAAAGGACCAAUAUUCAAAGGUGUUGCUUCUAGUCGAUUUUUGCCCAAAGGCACCAAGACAAAAGUUAAUUUGGAGGAACAGGGACGACAGAAGGUGUCAUUCAGCUUCAGCCUUACAAAGAAAACUUUGCAGAACAGGUUUCUGACUGCACUUGGCAAUGAAAAGCAAAAUGAUACUCCAAAUUCCCCAGUUGUACCUCUUCAAGUAGACUCGACCCCUAAAGUUAAGACGGACAUUGGAGAUACAUUAUCUACUACAGAAGAAUCUUCGCCACCGAAAUCAAGGGUAGAAUUGGGCAAAAUCCAUUUUAAGAAACAUCUGCUUCAUGUAACAUCCAGGCCACUGCUGACUGCCACCACAGCAGUGGCAUCUCCAUCUCCUCCCAUGGCACCAUUACCAGCAGUCAGAGCAGAAUCAACAACUGUAGACUCGCCACCCUCAUCUCCACCUCCACCACCUCCACCUCCCCAAGCCACAACACCCUCAUCACCAGCACCAGUAACAGAGCCAGUGGCCUUGCCACACACACCAGUUACAGUUCUGAUGACAGCACCCGUAGAUGUAGCUGCUAGAGCCUUGAAGGAGCCACCAGUAACAAUUGUACCAGAAUCAUCAGAAGUGGACACUAAACAGGACCCUGUAUCUAAUAGUUCAGAAGAACACAUAACUCACAGUUUGAAUGAGCAAGCAGAUAUCCCUUCACAAAAAGAAGAUUCCCAUAUUGGGAAGGAAGAAGAAACUCCAGAUAGUUCUAAAAGUAGUCUGGGCUCUAAAAAAACAGGUUCUAAGAAGAAAUCCUCACAAUCUGAAGGCACCUUUCUUGGUUCAGAAUCUGAUGAAGAUUCUGUACGGACUUCCUCAAGUCAAAGAUCGCAUGAUUUAAAAUUUUCAGCAAACAUUGACAGAGAAAGAGAUUCAAAGAAGAGCUUAGCAACUUUAAAAAGUGAGGAUUUAGGGAAAUCUUCACGAUCUAAAACAGAGAGAGAUGAUAAAUAUUUUAGCUACUCAAAACUUGAAAGAGAUACUCGGUAUAUAUCUUCUCGCUGUAGAGAGAGAGAACGAAGGAGGAGCAGAUCUCGGUCUAGAUCUGACAGAGGCUCUAGAACUAGUUUAUCUUAUUCUCGGUCAGAACGAUCCCAUUAUUAUGACUCUGAUCGUCGCUACCAUAGGAGUUCCCCCUAUCGAGAAAGGACUCGCUAUUCUCGGGCAUAUACAGAUAGCAGGGCGAGAGAGAGUUCUGACUCAGAAGAUGAGUAUAAGAAGACAUACUCAAGGCGCACCUCAUCUCAUUCUUCCUCUUACAGAGACCUAAGGACAUCAUCAUCCUAUUCUAAGUCUGACCGAGACUGUAAAACUGAGUCCUCUUACUUAGAGAUUGAGAAAAGAGGAAAGUAUUCUUCCAAAUUAGAAAGAGAAUCCAAAAGGACUUCAGAAAAUGAAGCAAUGAAAAGAUGUUGUUCUCCCCUCAAUGAACUCGGAUUCCGACAGGGGUCAUCAUAUUCCAAGCAUGAUAACAAUGCUUCCCGUUACAAAUCUGCCCCUUCAAAACCUGUAUCCAAGUCUGAUAAAUUUAAAAAUUCUUUCUGUUGUACAGAAUUGAAUGAGGAAACCAAACAGUCUCAUUCUUUUAGUUUACAGACUCCUUGUUCAAAAGGUAGUGAAUUAAGAGUGAUUAGUAAAAUUCCUGAGAGAGAGAAGACUCGGUCUCCAUCUCCAUCAAAUCGAUUAAAUGAUUCACCUACUUUUAAAAAGCUAGAUGGAUCACCUGUUUUUAAGUCUGAAUUUAGAGGACAUGAUAGCCAUGAUAGUAUUAAGGAAGUAGACUCUUUAUGUAAAGUGAAGAAUGAUCAGUUAAGAAGUUAUUGUCCCACAGAAUUAAAUAUAAAUGGGUCUCCAGGGGCAGAAUCUGAUUUGGCAGCAUUUUGCACUUCUAAACAUGACACUGUUUUGAUGUCUUCUGAUGAUAGUGUGACUGGAUCAGAGGUAUCCCCCUUGGUCAAAACAUGCAUGCUUUCAUCAAAUGGAUUUCAGAAUAUUAAUAGAUGUAAAGAAAAAGACUUGGAUGAUACUUGCAUGAAGCAUAGUAAGUCAGAAAGCCCAUUUAGAGAAACAGAACCUCUGGUGACACCACACCAAGAUCAACUCAUAUCUUUGCCAGUUAUGACUAUAGAUUAUUCCAAAACAGUUGUUAAAGAACCAGUUGAGGUGAGAGUUUCUUACUGUAAAACCAAAGAUUCAGAUAUAUACUGUACUUCAAAUGACAACCACCCUUCUUCAUGUCAUUCCGGAGCUGAAAAUAUUGAGCCUUUAGUCACGAAGAUGUCUUCAAAUAGCUUUAUGAAUGUGCAUUUGAAAUCAAAAACAGUUAUAUGUGAUAAUGGAAAUCUAACUGAUCAGCACUCAAAAUUUGCAUGUGGAGAAUAUAAGCAGAGUGUUGGUAGUACUAGUUCAGCUUCUGUUAAUCAUUUUGAUGAUUUAUAUCAAACUCCAGGGAGCUCAUGUAUUGCUUCAUCUCUUCAGAGUCUUCCCCCAGGAAUAAAAGUGAACAGUUUAACUCUCUUGCAGUGUGGAGAGAAGAUAUCUCCAGUUUUGGAUGCUGUGCCGAAGAGUAAAAACUCAGAGUUUUUAAAGCAUGCAGAGAAAGAAACAGUAAUAGAAGUAGGUAGUGACCUUCCUGAUUCAGGAAGGGGAUUGGCUUCAUGGGAUAACAGGCAUAAUAAUGGACUGUCUGAGAAAUGUGUGCAGGAGGCUCACGAAGAAGGGAAUUCUUUAUUGCCUGAUAGAAGAGGAAGACCAGAGAUCUCUUUAGAUGAAGAACGUGGAAGAGGACAUGCACAUACUUCUGAUGACUCAGAAGUUGUGUUUUCUUCUUGUGAUUUGAAUUUAACUAUGGAGGACAGUGAUGGUAUAACAUAUACCUUAAAAUGUGACAGCAGUGGUCAUGCCUCAGAGAUUGUAUCUACUCUCCAUGAAGAGUAUUCUGGUUCUUCUGAAAGUUCAAGUGAUGAAAGUGAUUCAGAGGAUACAGAUUCUGAUGAUAGCAGUAUUCCAAGAAACCGUCUUCAGUCUGUUGUGGUUGUGCCAAAGAAUUCUACUUUGACCAUGGAAGAAACUAGUCCUUGUUCUUCUCGGAGCAGUCAGAGUUACAGACACUAUUCUGAUCACUGGGAAGAUGAGAGAUUGGAGCCAAGGAGACAUUCAUAUGAGGAAAAAUUUGAGAGUAUAACAAGUAAAGCCUGUCCUCAAACUGAGAAGUUCUUCUUUCAUAAAGCAGCAGAGAAAAAUUCCGAAAUUUCUUUUAUACAGCCCAGCCGAAAACAGAUAGAUAAUCACCUGCCUGAAAUUGCUCAUCCGCAGAGUGAUGGGGUUGAUAGUACAAGUCAUCCAGACAUAAAAUCCGACCCUCUAGGUCAUUCAAAUUCUGAGGAAACAGUGAAAGCUAAAAUAGUUUCUCAGCAGCAAGAAGAGCUACCAGUUUAUUCUUCUGAUGAUUUUGAAGAUGUCUCAAAUAAGUCUCGGCAACAGACUGCUUUUCCUAACAGGCCAGAUAGUCGACUGGGAAAAACAGACUCAAGUUAUUCUUCUUGUGAGAUCUCCCGAGUGGAUGGCUUCCUUUCAUCAGAGGAGCUCAGAAACCUAGGGUGGGACUUGUCUCAACAAGAAAAGCCUACCACCACGUAUCAGCAACCUGACAGCAGCUAUGGAGCCUGUGGUGGACACAAGUAUCAGCAAAGUGCAGAACAGUAUAGCGGGGCACGCAAUUACUGGCAAGGCAAUGGCUACUGGGAUCCAAGAUCAGCAAGUAGACCGCCAGGAGCUGGGGUUGUGUAUGAUCGAAUUCAAGGGCAGGUACCAGAUUCCUUAACAGAUGACCGAGAAGAGGAGGAGAAUUGGGAUCAACGUGGAGGAUCUCACUUUUCAAGUCAGUCCAGUAAAUUUUUUCUGUCCCUUCAGAAGGACAAGGGUUCAGUGCAAGCACCUGAAAUAAGCAGCAAUUCCAUUAAGGACUCUUUGGCUGUGAGUGAGAAGAAAGAUCUUCUGAAAAACUUAGACAGAAAUGAUAUGAAAGAUAGAGGGCCUCUUAAAAAAAGAAGACAGGAAUUGGAGAGUGAUUCUGAAAGUGAUGGUGAGCUUCAGGACAGAAAGAAAGUUCGAAUGGAGAUAGAUCAGGGAGAGACAACAGUGCCUCUCGGCUCAGCGCUGGUUGGGCCUUCCUGUGUCAUGGAGGACUUCAGGGACCCCCAGCGGUGGAAGGAAUAUGCCAAGCAAGGGAAGAUGCCUUGUUACUUUGAUCUGAUUGAAGAAAAUGUUUAUUUAACAGAAAGAAAGAAGAAUAAAUCCCAUCGGGAUAUUAAGCGAAUGCAAUGUGAGUGUACACCUCUUUCUAAAGAUGAAAGAGCUCAAGGUGAAAUAGCAUGUGGGGAAGAUUGUCUUAAUCGUCUUCUCAUGAUUGAAUGUUCUUCUCGGUGUCCAAAUGGGGAUUAUUGUUCCAAUAGACGGUUUCAGAGGAAACAGCAUGCAGAUGUGGAAGUUAUCCUCACGGAAAAGAAAGGCUGGGGCUUAAGAGCUGCUAAAGACCUUCCUUCGAACACCUUUGUCCUGGAAUAUUGUGGAGAGGUACUUGAUCAUAAAGAGUUUAAAGCCCGGGUAAAGGAGUAUGCACGAAACAAAAACAUCCACUACUAUUUCAUGGCCCUGAAGAAUGAUGAGAUAAUCGAUGCCACUCAGAAAGGAAAUUGCUCCCGGUUCAUGAAUCACAGCUGUGAACCCAACUGUGAGACUCAAAAAUGGACUGUGAACGGACAACUGAGAGUUGGGUUUUUUACUACCAAACUGGUUCCUUCAGGCUCAGAGUUAACAUUUGACUAUCAGUUCCAAAGAUAUGGGAAAGAAGCACAGAAGUGUUUCUGUGGGUCAGCUAAUUGCCGGGGUUACCUGGGAGGAGAGAACAGAGUCAGCAUCAGAGCAGCAGGAGGGAAAAUGAAGAAAGAACGAUCUCGUAAGAAGGAUUCAGUGGAUGGGGAGCUAGAAGCUUUGCUGGAGAAUGGCGAGGGUCUCUCUGAUAAAAACCAAGUGCUCAGCUUAUCCCGGCUAAUGGUUAGAAUUGAAACUUUGGAACAGAAACUUACCUGUCUCAAGCUCAUACAGAACACACACUCACAGUCUUGUCUGAAGUCCUUUCUGGAACGUCACGGGCUGUCUUUGUUGUGGAUCUGGAUGGCAGAACUAGGUGAUGGCCGGGAAAGUAACCAGAAGCUUCAGGAAGAGAUUAUAAAGACUCUGGAACAUUUACCUAUUCCUACUAAAAAUAUGUUGGAGGAAAGCAAAGUACUUCCUAUUAUUCAACGUUGGUCUCAAACCAAGACUCCUAUCCCUCAGCUGAGUGAAGGAGAUGGGUAUUCUAGUGAAAAUACAUCACGUGCCCACACACCGCUCAACACACCUGAUCCUUCCACCAAGCUGAGCACAGAAGCUGACACAGACACCCCCAAGAAGCUCAUGUUUCGCAGACUUAAAAUUAUAAGUGAAAAUAGCAUGGACAGUGCAAUCUCUGAUGCCACCAGCGAGCUAGAAGGCAAGGAUGGGAAAGAGGACCUGGACCAGUUAGAGAAUGUCCCCAUCGAAGAAGAGGAAGAGCCUCAGGCGCAGCAGCUACUCGUGCAACAGCUGCCCGAGCCUAAAGUUGACAGUGACAUUGCUGCGGAGGCCAGCAAGCUCCCCACGUCCGAACUGGAGGCUGACGCUGAAAUAGAACACAAAGAGAGCAGUGGCGCGAAACUUGACGAACCUAUUGCUGAGGAAACACCAUCCCAAGAUGAAGAGGAGGGUAUAUCUGAUGUGGAGAGUGAGAGAAGUCAGGAACCGCCAGACAAAACAGUAGAUAUAAGUGAUUUGGCCACCAAGCUCCUGGACAGUUGGAAAGACCUAAAGCUUCUCAGGGCAGCACGGAGCUUGUUAACAUCACCAGCUGACCAUGUGUCUCCUUUUCUCAACUCCAUUUCCAACUUCGUGCUGAAGAAACACAAGAACCUAGCGUGCAUUCUGUGAAGAAACAGGAAGAUGGUUGGGAAGUUGGAUGAUGCAUGAAAAAUAAAAUAGGUGAAAAGAGGACAGAGGUGGUUAACUCACUGGCGCCGGCGUUAUUUUGGUGCGUCCAUUGCCGACAAUGGAUGUCGUUCUGGGAAAAUCCCGACUCCUGGCGAGAAAGGAUUAAGGCAAAACAGCUGGUUAUAAGUGAUGAUUAAUUAUAAUUUGACUGGAAAAUCUUCAUUCAUUUGGAUCAUGAGAAGAAGAGGACCGUGAUCAAGUUAGUCAGAAACUUAAGAAGUUUUUCAAGUACAGAUAAGUUGGUAUAAUCCAGUUUUAUAUAUAACCAUAAUGAGACUAUAUAAAUUUUCCUUCUUAAUGUUCUUUUAAUUCUGAUGUAAUUUCAGAUUUAUAGGAAAACUGAAGGAAUACUAUUCUUUAUGUAUUCUUCAUGUAAUACACAUUCCAGUGACGAAUGUAGUUAAAAACAGUAAAACAUUCCUCUAAACCUUUCAUUCAGAUUCCCCAAUGUUAGCAUUUUACCAAAUUUACCUCAUUAUUUUCUCUUUUUUUUUUUAACUUUUAAAGAGUAAGUUAACAGAUCUGACACCCACUGUGCCUAGAUAUUUUUAGAUGUUUAUUUCCCAAAUACAAGGAUAUUCUUCUGUAUAACUUCAGUGUUACCAAAAUCAGCAAAUUGCAGUGACACAAUACUAUUAAUCUUUUAAAAAGGCCUCAUUCAAAUUUUGCCAGUUGUGCAUAUACUGUUCUCUAUAGAAAAAAAAGAAAAGUUGUGAUUCAGAAUGAGAUCAAGUGUUACAUUUUUAUCUCUUUAAUAUCCUUUAGUAUCCUUUAAUCUGAAAUAGUUCCUCAAUCUUUGUCUUUUACAAAUUUCACAUUUUUGAAUACUUAAAAAUUUUUCUAGAAUACCCCUCAAUUUGGUUUUGUCUGGAGUUGUGCUUGGUUCAUUUAUCUCAUUACUGGCAUUGUCAACUUUGAUCGCUUGGUUAUGGUGGUGUCUCCUAGGUUUCUAUUUUCCUCUGUAUAAAAAAAAGUGUCAUAUAGGAGCACCUUUAGAAAUUACAAAUACUUUGUUUUUUGUGAAAUUUAUCCGCCAAUUGAUUUGGCCUGAAUCUUGUGCAACUAUGGUUUUUAACAAAUGGUGAUUUUCUAAUCCAGCCUUCCUUUUUAUGUAUUUCUGUACAGUGGUAGCAGAUUUACCAGGUUUCUAAAAUUACUUGCUUAGAUGCCUGUUUCUCCUCACAGGACCAUGAGAUCUUCAAGGGCAGAGACUGUUCUUUAAUCUUUGUAAUAAGAGUUUAAGAGUUACUCUUAUCAUGGUGUCUUUGUAGGAAUAGUUGUAAUAAUGUUACCACUUAAGAAUAGUGAAUGAUACUCUGUGCCCCUCCAGUCUGUGCUACAUUCAGUCUCCAGAGUUAUCCUUUUGGAAAUAUACCUGCAUUCAUGUCAAAGUUGUACUGAAAACUUUUAAAUGGUUCCUUAUUACAUGGUUAAAGUUAAGUCCAUUUUUCUUAACAAAGCUUACAUACCAUGGCAUAAUCUGGUCCUUAUUUAUUUAUACAUUCGCACCGCAAGCAUUUCUGAUCUUCCAGUGGGGAUACUACUAAUGCUCCAUGCACACACACACACACACUCUCUGACUCAUUUCUGAGAAGACUUUUAUUUAGAUGUCUGUUCUCACUUAAGUUUCCUCCUUUGCCCUGAAAGUCAUUUCCUUUUCCUCAAAGAUAGAGUAUUCUGCCUUUCCUUUAUGCUCUCAUAACAUCCUUUCCAGUCACAGCAGAUACCAUUUCGUAAUUGCACAUAGUGCAGAGGCAGGGACUGGGUCUGCCGUGGCCACUCGAGUCUGCCCAGAGUGCUGAGAGAGUGUAGUAUAUAGUUUGGCACUUCAGAAAUAUUUGAAUGAUGAAGGUCCUUUUUCCAUGGAACCACACUGCUGCUUGAAUCCAUAGUAUGUAUAUUUUAUUUGAUGGGUGGUCAGAAAAUACUAGAAUGAGUGUCAUGUAAUCUUUACAGCCCUGUAAAGUAAGUGGUGGUGUUUUUAUCAACUAUAAAAUAGAAAGAAACAUGCCUAUGAAGUUGUAAUUUAACUUUAAGCGACAUAGUUGAAAAUUAAUUCAGGGGGUACUCUUUCUGCCCCCUUCUGAUGCCUAUGUCAGAAGCUUUCUCUAUCUCCUUUAUACUUUAAUAAAACUUAAAAAAAAAAAAUUAAUUCAGGUCUUCUGAUUUAAAUCCUACAUUCUUUCCACUCCUUUUUCUGAUCCAAAAAUAGUGAUUGCUAUAUUCCUGGACAACCCAUGUUAUGUACCUUUGCUGAAUACUUUUCAGACUUCCUUCAGUCCCAAAGUGUUAGUCACUCAGUUGUGUCCAACUCCUUGUGACCCCAUAGACUCCUCUGUCCAUGGAAUUCUUCAGGCAGGAGGAAUACUGGAGUGGGUAGCCAUUCCUUUCUCAGGGGAUCUUCCUGACCCAGGGAUUGAACCCAAGUCUCCUGCAUUGCAGGCGGAUUCUUUACCAUCUGAGCCACCAGGGAAGCCGUUCUUAAAUCAUAGAAAUGACUGUUUUAGUGUUUUGUUCAAGUAUCUUUUCUCCCUUAAUGCUGCAGAGAUCAAACUAUGAUCCAUGAUUGAAUUUAAAGGAAUUUUUCUUCCCUUUCCCUUUCUUUUUUCUCUCCCCUUUUCUCCCUCCCUUUAAAAAUGUGCAAAGCCAUUCUUAGCUGGGGUUGAAGGGAUACUUAAAGAACCAGGCUGCAGGUCAGACCUUGGGGUGAAGUCAGUAAAAAUAAUACUGAAGAAGUUGGAAAAGAAAUAACACAAGGAUACUAGUAUACGAGAAGCAUUUUCAGAAAAAAUAAUGAAAAGAUUAUUUUAUUGUUUCAUUUCAUUAUUUCACAUAAUGAAAAGAUUCUCAUGUACUCUUGGGUAAGUGUGUUACAUCAUGUUAUCAGUUAAUUGUUUGGGAAAAGUAUAACAAAAACGUCACCAAUUGACUCAUCUUUUCGGGGGAAGAGUUGUUGAAGUUUUCUCUCAACAUAAUGAUUUCGGAAUUACAAAUAAAUGUUCGUGAGCUGGUGAGUUUGCAGAUACAGAAUCUCUGGAUAAAGAGGAUAGAUAGAAUUAUGAAAUAUGCGGCUUUUCGUGUCUGAGUGCUCUUACCUAGUGUAGUGUUUUCAGACUUCAUCCACAUUGGAGCAUGUAUCAGUAGUUAAUUCCAUUUUAUGGCUGAAUAAUACUCCAUUGUAUGGAUGCAGUUUUCUACCUAUCUUAAAAUGAGCCAGAAUGAGAUUGGGGGGAAAGGCAGCGAUAAACCCAGACGCAGACUUGCUGCUAAGUCAUAAUCUUUUUGUUGCCUAUUUGAUUUAUUGUUCAGUCGCUCAGUUGUGUCCGGCUCUUUACGACCCCAUGGACUGCAGCACUCCAGACUUCCCUGUCCUUCACCAUCUCCUGGAGUUUGCUCAAACUCAUGUCCAUUGGGUUGGUGAUGCCAUCCAACUGUCUCAUCCUCUGUCGUUCCCUUCUCCUGCCUUCAAUCUUGCCCAGCUUCAUUUGAUGUUCUUUGCCUUUUUAAUCAGAAGUAUUUUAUAUUUCUUUAAUCCUGAAAAAAAUCACCUUGAUUGUUUCUCAAAAUAGUUCCUUCUCUCCUAGAAUUCCUUUUACCUGGAGUUGGCACUUUAACUUCUAGCCUCCAUAUCUCAUAACUUUGCUUUCACAUUUUCUUUUUUUGUGCCCUUCCAUCAAUAAAAAUGGCAUCUGGCUCAGAGUCUUUCUCUUUUUUAUUCUUAGUCUUGCCAUCAUUUAGGAAGAAAGAUUUGUUUAAUGCAUACUACACAAUUCUGUCUGUACUUGCUAACAGGGAAAAAUAGUUGUAAAAAAAAAAAAUCUGUUAUUACAGAAUAUAUAAUCUGAUAUCUAUAUAAUAAAAGGUAAAAUUUAAUUAUACUCUCAUUGUAAAGUAUUUUGUUCUCAAAGUCUUGUUUAGCUAAAGAACAGUCUAAUCAGUGCUAAAUUUUUAUACUUUCCAGAAAAAGUAAUCCUACAAAGUUUUGAAAUUUUGUUUUAAUCCUUUUUCUACAGUCUAUUCUGUGAGUUCAUUUGAAAUGUGUUUAAAAAAAAAAAAAAGAAUGUGCUGGAGUGCUUUGCCAACAAAUUUCCCAUGUGUACUUUUUGAGACUGUUGGAAGAAAAUGACCUAUCUGCAGUAGGUUACUUAGUCAAGGAGGAGGGAUAGGUUGGAAUGUGGUCUUCUCUAGGCACAUGCAGCCCAAGAGGAGGAAGAGCCUAGAUGGCACUGAACUGAGGGUGCAAACAUAGUUCUUUUGUCAGAUUCUCCCUUAUGAGGGAGAAAUGAGUGAGGCCUCUUAAGAGAAGCCAGUAGUUCAGUGGUUGUUAAUCUUCUCUGGACUUCAGAAUCAUCUGGGGAGCUUCUAAAAAAUACAGAUGCCUGGGACUCAUUCCCAGAAUUUUAGGUUCAGUUUGUUUGGGAUAGUACAUCUAUAAGUUUCCUGGAGUGAUCUAAUCAUGCUGCCAGAGUUGAGAAUCGCAGCUCUAGUGGAAAUCCUACAUAGGAAAGGCUAGGUGGAUGGUGGAUUUUUACUACAUUUGUGCAUAAAUCCACAGAACGGCACUCCUUUCCAGAAUAUGCCACUUCGUCAUAUGGACAGAUGUGCUCUGGAGUCAGAGCAAAAGUGCUCUGAAAGCAUCAGUUGCUAAACUUUUUAAGUAAGUUUUCUCAUUUGUAAAAUGGAGAUAACAAACUAUGAGAGUUGUUUUGAAACUCAAAUAAGAUUAUGUGUUUGAAAUGCUUGGCAUGACACCUGGCACACAGGAUAAGUGCACAUUUAAUAAUGUCAUCGUCUUUAUAUUAGAUAAUUUGUCAGCAUGCAUGGAGUCUUAUUAAAGGGUUCUCUUAAAAAUCUAUAUUCUUAUAGAUUGCCAUGUAUGUGUAUAGUCCACAUUUGGCAUUUUUAAUGGCAGCUGAAUAUUACAUCUUGACCUUUCUUCAGUUGUGUGAUAUAUGGGUUAUUUCCUUUUCCACAGAUGUUGCUAGAACCAAAAAUCAUGUAGAAAGAUUUUCCUUGGAGUACAGUUCCUUAAAAAAAUGGGAUUACCAGGUCACCUUGUAUGUGGUCAGUAUUUCAAAAAGACUCUAAAGCAAGGGUUUUAUAUGAUGUACUAUUGAGAAUGUGUGGGAGUGCUGUUCCCACUCAGCCAGGUGACUGGAUAAGGAAGAAUGUGUCUAAGAGCUGCUUCAUGGACUUAAAACAGAGAUUUUCAGGAAACAGGUUCGUUUCUAGGCUCUAGGUUCAUACAGCAAGAAAAGUUACCUCAAGACUUAGUUUAUAUUUCUCAAGAAGAAUCUUGAUAGAGUAUUAGAUGGUAUUUGAAGAGCCACAAUGAUCCGAAACUUUUAUUUUUAAAAAUAACAGCAGGAGUGUAAGAGUAAAUGACAUUUAGCCAUUAGCUAAAUUGAUUCUGUAUUUGUAGGAAAAUAUACUGAAAAGCAGGAAUUAUCUUUACACAUGUAAUUUUUCUGAAAUGUGAAGCUGUUAUUCCUAACCUUGCCUUUCUCUAAGUAGCGAUGGCAAGUGAGAUGUUCCAGUUGUUCAUAUGAAUACUCUCAGUAAAGAAACUAUAGAUGACUUCAUUUUAUAUGCAGACAGUUUAUGGAAAUUAAGAUUUUUCAGGAGGUGUAUUUCUGCCAGAAAUAAUGCCCUAGUUACUUAAUCUGCUCCUUGGCUAAUGAGGUCAUGCAAGCCUGGUAGAUGUUUAAGAAUAAAUAUGUAUUUGUGUUAUAUAUUUUUUAAGGGACCAGGAUCUAUUCUUAUUUAAAGCCAAAUAUAAGUAAAUUUUUGAAGAAUAAUUAAAUACCAGACUAUUCCUCCCCAUUUCUUUUUUGCCAGUGUGAAAUCAAAGCAAUUAAUCGCUUCCACUCAUCACUAAUAACCCUUCUUUUGGUUUGUGUUUUUGCAGGAGGUAUAUCGAAUUCCGAA